AAGUCGUAACAAGGUUUCCGUAGGUGAACCUGCGGAAGGAUCAUUAACACUUUUUCAUUUUAUUGAAAAUUCAUUUUUCAAUAAUUUACUUACCCACAUUUUUGGAUGAAUUAUUUCUUUUUUAUUCUUUAUAUCAUUUUUAUACCCCAAACAAAAACUAAAUACUAUAUUAUUUUCUAACAUUUAUACAAAAAAGUUUAAGAAAAACAUAAAAAAACAACUCUUAACAACGGAUAUCUAGGCUCUC
rnacentral:misc_RNA from 1 species